AACGAACGCUGGCGGCAUGCCUAACACAUGCAAGUCGAACGAGACCUUCGGGUCUAGUGGCGCACGGGUGCGUAACGCGUGGGAACCUGCCCUUAGGUUCGGAAUAACUCCCCGAAAGGGGUGCUAAUACCGGAUAAUGUCUUCGGACCAAAGAUUUAUCGCCUUUGGAUGGGCCCGCGUUGGAUUAGCUAGUUGGUAUGGUAAAAGCCUACCAAGGCGACGAUCCAUAGCUGGUCUGAGAGGAUGAUCAGCCACACUGGGACUGAGACACGGCCCAGACUCCUACGGGAGGAAGCAGUGGGGAAUAUUGGACAAUGGGCGAAAGACUGAUCCAGCAAUGCCGCGUGAGUGAUGAAGGCCUUAGGGUUGUAAAGCUAUUUUAACCGGGAUGAUAAUGACAGUACCGGGAGAAUAAGCUCCGGCUAACUCCGUG
rnacentral:rRNA from 1 species